GUCUACAGCCAUGGCACCCUGAACAAGCCUAAUCCCAUCUGAUCUCAGAAGCUAACAGGGUCAGGCCUGGUUAGAACUUGGAUGGGAGACCACCUAGGAAGACUAGGUACCGUAGGCG
rnacentral:rRNA from 1 species